rnacentral:rRNA from 1 species
GAUGAACGCUGGCGGCGUGCCUAAUACAUGCAAGUCGAGCGAACGGACGAGAAGCUUGCUUCUCUGAUGUUAGCGGCGGACGGGUGAGUAGCACGUGGAUAACCUACCUAUAAGACUGGGAUAACUUCGGGAAACCGGAGCUAAUACCGGAUAAUAUUUUGAACCGCAUGGUUCAAAAGUGAAAGACGGUCUUGCUGUCACUUAUAGAUGGAUCCGCGCUGCAUUAGCUAGUUGGUAAGGUAGCGGCUUACCAAGGCAACGAUGCAUAGCCGGCCUGAGAGGGUGAUCGGCCACACUGGAACUGAGACACGGUCCAGACUCCUACGGGAGGCAGCAGUAGGGAAUCUUCCGCAAUGGGCGAAAGCCUGACGGGGCAACGCCGCGUGAGUGAUGAAGGUCUUCGGAUCGUAAAACUCUGUUAUUAGGGAAGAACAUAUGUGUAAGUAACUGUGCACAUCUUGACGGUACCUAAUCAGAAAGCCGCGGCUAACUACGUG